rnacentral:rRNA from 1 species
CAGCAGCCGCGGUAAAACGAACCGUCCGAACGUUAUUCGGAAUUACUGGGCUUAAAGCGCGUGUAGGCGGAUUCGCACGUCGGGCGCUGGAAUCCCCUGGCUUAACCAGGGAAGUGGCACCGAUACGGCGAGUCUGGAGGGAGGUAGGGGGGUCUGGAACUUCCGGUGGAGCGGUGAAAUGUGUUGAGAUCGGAAGGAACGCCCGUGGCGAAAGCGAGGCCCUGGACCUUUUCUGACGCUGAGACGCGAAAGCCAGGGGAGCGAACGGGAUUAGAUACCCCUGUAGUCCUGUCUCUUAUAC